rnacentral:rRNA from 1 species
UACGUAGGGUGCAAGCGUUAAUCGGAAUUACUGGGCGUAAAGCGUGCGCAGGCGGUGAUGUAAGACAGGUGUGAAAUCCCCGGGCUUAACCUGGGAACUGCAUUUGUGACUGCAUCGCUGGAGUGCGGCAGAGGGGGAUGGAAUUCCGCGUGUAGCAGUGAAAUGCGUAGAUAUGCGGAGGGACACCGAUGGCGAAGGCAAUCCCCUGGGCCUGCACUGACGCUCAUGCACGAAAGCGUGGGGAGCAAACAGG